rnacentral:rRNA from 1 species
UACGAAGGGGACUAGCGUUGUUCGGAAUUACUGGGCGUAAAGCGCACGUAGGCGGAUUUGUAAGUCAGGGGUGAAAUCCCGGGGCUCAACCUCGGAACUGCCUUUGAUACUGCAAAUCUCGAGUCCGAUAGAGGUGGGUGGAAUUCCUAGUGUAGAGGUGAAAUUCGUAGAUAUUAGGAAGAACACCGGUGGCGAAGGCGGCCCACUGGAUCGGUACUGACGCUGAGGUGCGCAAGCGUGGGGAGCAAACAGG